rnacentral:piRNA from 1 species
UAGCGUUUUCGGUGAAGUACU